rnacentral:rRNA from 1 species
GUAACGGCGAGUGAAGCGGCAACAGCUCAAAUUUGAAAUCUGGCUCUCGGGCCCGAGUUGUAAUUUGUAGAGGAUGCUUUUGAUGCGGUGCCUUCCGAGUUCCCUGGAACGGGACGCCAUAGAGGGUGAGAGCCCCGUCUGGUUGGAUGCCAAAUCUCUGUAAAGCUCCUUCAACGAGUCGAGUAGUUUGGGAAUGCUGCUCUAAAUGGGAGGUAUAUGUCUUCUAAAGCUAAAUACCGGCCAGAGACCGAUAGCGCACAAGUAGAGUGAUCGAAAGAUGAAAAGCACUUUGAAAAGAGAGUUAAAAAGUACGUGAAAUUGUUGAAAGGGAAGCGUUUAUGACCAGACUUGGACUUGGUUAAUCAUCUGGGGUUCUCCCCAGUGCACUUUUCCAGUUCAGGCCAGCAUCAGUUUUCCCCGGGGGAUAAAGGCGGCGGGAAUGUGGCUCUCUUCGGGGAGUGUUAUAGCCCGCCGUGUAAUACCCUGGGGGGGACUGAGGUUCGCGCAUCUGCAAGGAUGCUGGCGUAAUGGUCAUCAACGACCCGUCUUGAAACACGGACCAAGGAGUCGUCUUCGUAUGCGAGUGUUCGGGUGUCAAACCCCUACGCGUAAUGAAAGUGAACGCAGGUGAGAGCUUCGGCGCAUCAUCGACCGAUCCUGAUGUUCUCGGAUGGAUUUGAGUAAGAGCAUACGGGGCCGGACCCGAAAGAAGGUGAACUAUGCCUGUAUAGGGUGAAGCCAGAGGAAACUCUGGUGGAGGCUCGCAGCGGUUCUGACGUGCAAAUCGAUCG